GAGAGAGGCUCGAAAGCACCGAUGACUGCUAAUCUUCGUCACCUUGGUUGAACCCCAAGGCUCACUCG
rnacentral:tRNA from 1 species